rnacentral:rRNA from 1 species
AUUGAACGCUGGCGGAAUGCUUUACACAUGCAAGUCGAACGGUAACAGGUCUUCGGAUGCUGACGAGUGGCGAACGGGUGAGUAAUAUAUCGGAACGUGCCCAGUCGUGGGGGAUAACGUAGCGAAAGUUACGCUAAUACCGCAUACGAUCUAUGGAUGAAAGCGGGGGAUCGCAAGACCUCGCGCGAUUGGAGCGGCCGAUAUCAGAUUAGGUAGUUGGUGGGGUAAAGGCUCACCAAGCCAACGAUCUGUAGCUGGUCUGAGAGGACGACCAGCCACACUGGAACUGAGACACGGUCCAGACUCCUACGGGAGGCAGCAGUGGGGAAUUUUGGACAAUGGACGCAAGUCUGAUCCAGCCAUUCCGCGUGCAGGAUGAAGGCCCUCGGGUUGUAAACUGCUUUUGUACGGAACGAAAAGGUCUCUCCUAAUACGAGGGGCUCAUGACGGUACCGUAAGAAUAAGCACCGGCUAACUACGUG